CCUACGGGGUGCAGCAGUGAGGAAUAUUGGUCAAUGGACGGAAGUCUGAACCAGCCAUGCCGCGUGCAGGAAGACGGCUCUAUGAGUUGUAAACUGCUUUUGUACAAGGGUAAACCUGAAUACGUGUAUACAGCUGAAAGUACUGUACGAAUAAGGAUCGGCUAACUCCGUGCCAGCAGCCGCGGUAAUACGGAGGAUCCAAGCGUUAUCCGGAUUUAUUGGGUUUAAAGGGGGCGUAGGCGGAUUGAUAAGUGAGAGGUGCAAUGUCCGCGCUUAACUCUGGAACUGCCUCUAAUACUGUUGAUCUAGCGAGUAGCUGCGGUAGGCGUCAUGUCUGGUGUAGCGGUGAACUGCUUAGAGAUCAUACAGAACACCGAUUGCGAAGGCAGCUUACCAAUCUAUAUCUGCCGUUGAGGCACGACAGCGUGGGGAGCAAACAGGAUUAGAUACCCGAGUAGUC
rnacentral:rRNA from 1 species